GGGAGGGGGUGGCAUAAUUUCCAUUUAUAAAGAGGAGAUAUUCACUGGAAUAUAAGGAUAGAGAGAGCAUUACAUACGGGUGGGGAUCACGCUCACAUAAAAGAAAAAAUUUCCAUUUAUAUAUUCCAUUCACACGUAAAUACAGGGGACGAACUGAAAAAAGGAAGCUUCUUCUUCAUUCUUUUCUUCUUGGGCACACAAAAAUGGCGGACCCAUGAUAAUCGGGUUGUUUUCCAUGGAAUAAAGGGGGAAAUUCAUCUUUCUUCUGAGAUACACAGAUAACUUCACUGAAGAAAGGAAAAGGGGACUCCAUUUUUGGGUUUCUUCUUCGCAAUACACAUCACACAAAGAAACACUCAUAUCGUUACACACAGAAUACAUAAAAGGAGCAGGAUUUUCACAGGUGGGUCACGGUUCUGGCAACGUUCGGCUAGAGAUAAGCUUUUCCCGGCGAGUCCUUCGCCAAAAUCGGUUAUUAUUUCGGUCAAAUUCAGGUAUUACACGUUUGAAUUCCAUCCCAGUCCCAGUCCCAAGAUACCAUAAAAUCUUUUAGUUUCCUUAGGUUUUUCAGUCGAAAUCUCACCGGAAAAGGUCAAGUGCGCCGGAAUCCAAUCUAUUUCAUCAGUUCUUGCUCAUCCAAGAUCACUGGAGCUCCAGUGAAUCGGAAGCGGCGACCCUGCUCUGAUUCCGUCAUGACUCAUUUAGGACUCAUUUGUUUACACUUAAUAAUGAAGUUAUGAAUUUGAAUGGUUUAGACUUCACAUCAUUAAGUAUAUUUGUCUUUUAUUAAGGUUUUAACUGGUCUAAAUAGCUUUUAAUCAUUCAGAUCUAGAACCAAGUCUUAAUAGAUGAUAUUCUGGUGUUGGAUAAUAUUCACUACUCUAUUCAUAAUCAGUAAUCGCUACCACUAACCACUUCUGUCACCGUCACCAUUGUUAACUAUCACCCACCUCCACCAUCGAAAAAAAAAUACCGCUACUAACCACAAUUGUCGAUUACUACCACACCUACUACCUCUUUUAUUUUAAUUAUAUUCACUGCCACCAUUGCCGUCAAUAACACCACAAUUUGCAACCACUAUCGUCCAAUCCCUACUACCAACCAACUCAUCUAUCACAACUAGCACCAUUACUAACUACCACUAAUACAUCACAACCUCUACAAAUUCUUUGACUGCCAUCACCAUUGUCACUAGUAACGCCAUAUCUACCACCACUUCAACCAGUACCAUCGCUAUAAUUUAUCUCUAGUAACAACCAUCUCCACCAUCACAACAAAUAACAUCUCCAACUGGCACCAACAUAUCGUCAAUCAUUAUGCAUUCAUAUUUCAGCCAAUACAAUCAACACCUUAAACUACUAACAUCAAAUAACAUCACAUCACAACAACCACCACCACCAUUAAUCGCCACCAUCGUAACAGUCACUACAAUACCAACCAUCACAAUUAUCACCACCAACAUUAUUAAUCACUAACAUCAAUCAUUGUCACCGCAACCACCAUUAUAAGCCAUCUCCACUAUCACUAACAAACAUAAAUAUUUUUUCUCAAUCAAAUACUAAUAAUUUUGUUGUAUUAAAUUACAUACUUUUUUAAUACAUAAUUAAUUUUUUAUUUGAAUUAUAUUUUUUAUUUUAUUAUGUAUAUACAAAUAAUUUUUUUUACACAUUCAGAUGUUGAAAAAUAAACAAUCCUAAUCGUUCAGUUUUUAGAUCUAGAGACAACAUCUUAAUUAUUCAGAUGUGCAUUCAGAUUCAGACGUCUGAAUCUUAAAAAAAAACAAAUGAAGCCUUAAUCUUAAGUUGAAAUCUGCGGUUUAAGUUUGUAUUGAUGUUUCCAGUUGUUUUUUUAGAUCAGUUCGAGGUUGAAUUCAACUGGAACUGGGAGGUUCGAUGUUCUGAAGUCGGGUCGAGGCAUUCCGGUCAGAGCUCUAAUCAAAAUACUUCAACAGAUUGAAAUAAAAGCUGAGGUCCAAUUCUCUCAUAUCUCUUUUAAUUUCUAUGUGAUUUUGGAUGUAAUUCGAUGUCAUUGUUCUUGUGGUUGAUGAUUUUUUUGAUGUUUGGUGUUGUUUACUUUGAAUAGUCGAUCUCGUUGGUAUAAAUGUGAUAACAAUAUAAGUUUGGGAUUGUAUUAAAAAUAAAAAUUGGGUGGGAAUUUAAACUUUGAUAAAAGGCGAACAUUGGUUUAUUUUGAUUCAUCGAUUGUGGUUUGAUUUAAGAUGAAUGUGAUUUUGUACAACCCGAUAGUGUCAUGUUUAUGCCGAAAUCGAUAUACAAACAUAAGUUGGGUAGGCAAACUCAGGAAUGGUCAUUUGUUGGAUGUGUGAAUGUUUGUGAAUGGUUCUAUCUAUUUUAGUGCACAAAAUUGAGAAAAUGUAUUCAUUUGCCGGGGAAUGCCCCGAGGUCACAUUGUACUUAUUUGUCGGGGAAUGUCCCAAGUAUUUUGUACUCAGAAGACGUCCGUGAUGAAGGUCCGAGGCAUCGGGUAAAGCAUGGGGCGUAGUUUAGGAUUAGUGUAGGUUUCCUUUUCAGUACCUUUUUAUUUCGGGUUGUAAUAAUUGGAUUGGAUACAUAUUUUGAAUUUGUUUUGUUUGUUUGUUUGUUUGAUUUUUUUUGUGUGUUUUUGUGUGGUUUAUACAUUUUGUAAUGUCAAAUUAGCCGAUAUGCUCCACCAAGCGACCAUGGUCGAACUACGGGACUGAAAGGUGCCUAACACCUUCCUCUCGGUCAACAAAAUUCCUUAACUGGAAUCUCUGUUUGUAAACCAGUCUUAAAGAGUCAAAAACAGUUUUGAAAAAGGAUUUCCAAAGGUGACUUGGCACACCCGAUUAUGCCAAGUGGCGACUCUAAAAUUAAUUGUAAAAGAUCCUUUUCGGAAUAAAAUUUUCAUCUUUUUGUCCCUUAAUAAUCAAACCCUUUCAAACUUAAAAUUAAUUCUUUUCAGUUAAAAAAGGGGUGUGACAGGAAGUAAUAAGUUAGUUUUUUCGGAGCCUUCAAUUAAUCUUGUAUUACCAAAUAUAGUAUUAACAUUGGCUUCUUUCAUCACCAAAUAAGAGAAAUAUUUCUUAUCUUUUAAAAUAGUAUGUGUGGUAGCACUAUCUAUAAGACAUAUAUCACCGUAACUGAUUUUGGAUCCAACUAAUGAUUGAAGAAUUUCCAUAUUCUUAUAAGGAAUCUCGUGCUGAUAACGUGUUGAGAAUAAAUACACUAUAAUAAAUUAAAAUGAAAAGGAAGAAGAGAGAGAUGUAUAGAUAUAAGAAUAUGAUUAUAUUUUUCAUUUGGUGUGUUUUUACAAUGUAGUAUGAAAUGUCUUUUAUAGACAAUAGUAUGUGUAAUAAGUGUAGUAUGUGAAUGAUAUCCACAAAUGAAAUAACUUCUUUACAUGCUACAGUAGUAUAUGUAAAAUAUUUAAUAUGUGAAGUAUGGGUAGUAUAGUAUGUGAACAUCGACAAAAUAACUUAUUUAUGAUAAAAGCAAGUUAAAAAUGAAGUUGUUGUGCUUAGAAAAAAGUUGAAGUUUAUAAGUUAAAGAAGUUUAAUUCUUUUAAGUUACNNNNNNNNNNNNNNNNNNNNNNNNNNNNNNNNNNNNNNNNNNNNNNNNNNNNNNNNNNNNNNNNNNNGAGAAGCUCUAGUCUACACUAGCCCGUAAGUACGCUAUCUUGAGCUGAAGUACUUCACAUCGGAUCAACAUAUGAUCAGAAUAUCAGAUCUGUGCCUGUACAAUUCGAAAGAUUAAAAUUGAAAACUUAAUUAUUGAAAAAAUUCUCUACUUCAUCUAAAACUUAAAAAUCUUGAAUACACAUUUAGUCAUCGACUAUAUACCUCUGGAUACUAUUUCUUAAAUUUAAGUGAAAUUAUAUACUGAAUUAUAUUAAAUGAUUAGUAUUUAUACACAAAGACAUCAUGUUUUAUUGUUAUUGAUUUGACACACAUUAACACGAGUAACUUUCUUCCCUGCUCUGAAUAGUUGUUUGAAUAAUGAAUUACAGUACGUAUCAUUAGAUUUAAUAUUGGCAUGUUGGAAACAAAGAAAUAACCGAUUGGUCAUUUUAUUGUAGGUAUUAUUUUUUCUUAUGAUAUAUCUAUGAUAUUAUAUUAUAUGUAGGACGUAGUCGUUUGAACAUGAACUUAAAAUUAUAAUUUAAAAUUAUUGGCUUAUGUAGAGGUUGAUUUAAAAUUAAUUUUUUCUCCUAGACAUGUAUUUAAAUUUCAAAAAUUGUAAUUUUCUCCUGAACUUGAGAAUCCUACUAUUUAUUAAAACUAUCAAAUUCUUCUUAAAAUAUAGAUUGAACAAGUGUAGUCAUUGAAGGAGGAUCUGGUUUUUUGGGUUUGGAGAGGAAAGCGAUUGUUUGUGGAAGAUUUACUUUUUAAUUAGUGUGAAUUGGUAUAUUUCUAAGUUAGCAAUUCAUUAUAAAUUUUGGAUCAAAUUUUAACAAUUUUUCUUCAAAUAUUUGUGUGUGAUCAUAAAUUUUGAAAAUUGUCUUGAAAAAGUUUUCAAAUUCCAAAAUUUGGUCUGAAAAUUUUACUUUUCACUCAUAAACUUCAAAUGUUUUCCAAAUAAGAUGCAUUUUCAAACACAACUCAGAUUUUAAAAAUCACAACUUCAAAAACUCAAAUUUCAAUUUCAAAAUGUAUAGCCAAAUGGAAGCUUAAAUUUUAAAACUUUAGAUAUUACAAAUUUGAAUUUAAAAUUAUAUCUUUGAGGUGAAUUUGACAUUUAAAAUUUAAGUCACAAGUUGAACUUUUAUUUCAUAUGAGUUAAUAAAAAUAUUUUAAAUCAAGACUUAAAUUCAUGAUCUGUAAUCACAUGUCCAAAACGUUACCCUAAAGAAAGAAGGCUCCAUGACCAAUUUCUUUUUUCUUAAACGAAAAUGGAGGGCCAGGAUAAGCGGCGGCAGAACAGGGAGAAGGUGUCAAAUUGUCGCAUUUUGGGGGCGCUCUCGAGCCAUAUGCAUGAUUACUGCCACUUACCCUUGCACAUUUGAAUUUUGGUUACUUGUCACAAUUAACUUCUCCUUUUCUAUGCCUACUCAUAUUUUUUAUUUAGUAAUCACCCAUAUUCAAAAUUCAUAAUUAACAAUAACAACAACAAUAAUAACAUAUUUAUUAGUGUAAUUCGCAAGUAGAGUCGAGGAAAAAUAAUGUGUACGCACAUCAUAUUUCUAUCUAAAAAGAUAAAGAUGUGAUUGCCGUUAGACUCUCGACUUUAAAUUAAUUCAACUAAUUUAAAUUCACACCUUUAUAGCGUAAUUAGUGCUCCAAUCCCUCCUAUAAAAAUGAUUUUACUUUUUAGCUCGAACAUGAAAAUUUUAUUUAGGGCAGGAACUUUUAUCAUUCCCUUGUAUGCAUUGGUGUUUGCUACACAUUUAUGUGUGAACCUUGUAUGAUUGUUUAUUCGAAAAUAAUUACUCACUUCGUUUAUAUUAGUUGGCCAUCUUGCUAAAAAUAUUUAUCUUAUUUUAGUUGUUCAAGUUUUAAAAUCAAGAAAAGUUUAUUGUAUUUUUUCAAUAUUACCCCCAUCAUUAAAUGACUAUGUAAAAGGUAUAUAAUCAAAUUUAUAUUUUUAAUGCAUAAUUAAUAAGGUAUAUUUUAGUAAAAUAAACUUCUAUUAAAUAUUUUUCUUAAGGGGAGUGUCAAGUCAAUAAGGGCCAACUAAAAUGAAACGGAGAGAGUAGAAUCUUUUCCACUUUAAAAUAUUUAGAAGUCGUUUGGUAGAGUGUAUAAGAAUAUAUAAUGCUGAAUAAAGUGUAUUAAUAAUGCUUGUAUUAUUAAUGCUAGUAUUAGUAAUGGUGGUAUUAGUUAUACAUACAUUAUUUUUUACACAUUUUUUAAUUUGAUAUAUUAAAGAUAAUAUAUAUUUAUAUAAUUUUUAUAAAAAUAUAUCUUGUUUACUGAGUUACCCUUAAACACUUUCUUGUAAAAUCAAAAUGGAAUUGCUUCAAUAGAUUUAUCUAUUCAAAAAAUCAACCUAAGCAACUGAGAUGUGAUCCAGUAAUUGGUCAUGGUCCAGCCAUCUUAAAUCCCAAAUGAUCAGUAAUUUUUGGAAUCAUAACUAACAACCACAAGAUAGAAACAAAUAUAGAAUUCACACGUUCAACAUCAGUAAACAAAUCAGUCAUGCCAAAUUUUUUACUCAGGGACUAGAGUUCUAAAGUUUGUUGUGUAAAAUAUUUAUCAGGGCUCAGUCUCGCAUUAGUAAUAGUUAGCUUAACAAUUGAAGUCCAGUUAUAGAUUGUUUUAUAAGUUACAUUCUAUGUUGCUUUCCGCCAUAUUAAAUCAUGAUUUUGGUAUAAAAUAAACUAUACCCAAAUUGUGAAAUAGCGGUAGUAAAAACAAGCAAUGAUCAAGAAUAUGAAUUUGAUUGAAUUAAUAAUCUUGUGGAGAAAAUCAAACUAUAUUAAUUAAGUAGAAGGAAAAAGAUGCAGAGAAUAUAACUCUCUUUUUCAUGUCAGAGUAUAAAAACAAAAAGAAAUGGAGAAUGUGAUAUGAUGGAAAAAGAAAGGAGAAAUACGUAAAGGAUGAUGUGACACCUCUUUAUGAUCACCAUUUCUAUUUAUCUUUUUUCUCCCUUUUUAUGAGAUUUUUUCUCAUUUUCGAAUUAAAGAUUAAAGAAUUAGCAAUAUUCUACUUUAUUUAUUGAGUGUCAUUAAUAAAUAUUAAUAAUUAUUGUAGUUAAGUUGAGAAAGAGUUGAAAAGCCUAUUAUUUAUUGUUAUAAUGUAAUGGUUGGGACAAUGAGAAGUUUGGGUUGUGAGGACAGCGGAUUGAAGCAAUAAAUGAGAAAACAAAUAGUCGUUCUUUCAAAAUAAAGUCUCUCUUUACCCGAUAUACAUCACAUAAAAAUAUCAAUUAAAUGAUCAAUUCUUCUUCUUCUUCAAUUUGGACUUAGCAUAUAGUUGUUUGGAAUGCUUUUCACAUUCUUUGAUUGCAAAAUUUGCUCCUCCAAUACUAAGUACUUUAUUUUUGACGUUUAAUUAUGGAGUUGCCGAGGUGAUAAUGCUAAUAUACUACUAAUUAAUUGCAAUCUAUUAUCUAUGUUCCCACCCUUCAAAAAAACUAGCUUGGUUAUAUUAAAAAAUGUUUAGUUUAUGUAUCUUAGUUACAUAAUUAAAAAUGACUUUUCUACUUUAAAGAUAAAUUGAAUCGUGUUCUAAAUUUUGAAUAUGUGAUUUAUCAUAAAUUAAUUAUGUAUUUAUAUCAGAGUUGAGUGACAAUGGAGUAUAACUUUUGUGAAAAUUUUAUAAGAAUUGUGGUUAUAUUUUAGUGUGUGUUGCUCAUUAACUUUUUGGAGGUUCAAGCUCAAGUUACUUGUGAGUUAUGACCUCCAUGGAAGGCAUGGUCAACCACAGUAUUUGGACAGAGAAUUAAGUGAUUUCAUUAAGUCAAAAGGACGACUAUUAUAGCAACAAAUGAGUCAAUAAUCCGAUAAACAUGUAAAUAAAAUGAUUAUAAAUUUGCUAACAAUCGAUCUGGUCCAAUCACUAACCAAAGAAAAUUGUGUAUACAUAUGAUUAACUUUUGUCUGAGAAGAGUCUGAAUUAUUUUUAAAAAUAUGAGAAAAUAUCUUUUAUGCUCUUAAGAAAGCAAUUUGCUUAUAGAAGUCAAUCUAUAAUUUGAUGCUUAUCCUUUUAAUAAUGCUCGUGUUCUCAGAUAGAGUGUUUUGUCAAACAUAUACUCAAUUGAUUUUUUAAAAGGGUGAUUUUCUUCAUUAAUGUGAUAAGUUGGACAUUUUUUUUCUUGAUCUCUUUAUAACCAAUUUAUGGUAUUUCAAAUGGCAAAAUAAAAUGAUAAGUUUUAGUGAUUCUAGAAAUGUGUUUUAAAUAAAAAGAAAAAACAUAAAUAAGGUAAUAUGACAUCUCCAUGAUCAUUAAUUAUAUUUAUUUUUUUCUCUUUUCAGGGGGCUUUUUUCACCUAUUUUAAUUCAUUUUAUUAUAACAAAAAAUUAAAAUUAUUUUAAUAUAUCACUCAUGUUGGUCAUUAAACAAACGCAACGAAUUCUAUUUGUAUUCCUCAUUAAUGCUCUAUUAAUGGUGAUUAUUACAAGAGAAUAAGCACUAUGCAAUUAAUCUUUAGAAAUGAAUAGGCACAAAAUUAACUAUAAACCAGCUAUGAGAUCCGGUCUUUGUGAUGCAAGAGGUUGGAUUGAAAAUUAAAUCAAGCCAUAAACUUUCCUAUGAAAAUACUAAAAAUUACACAAAUACACAACUUAUGUUUCCAAUAUUACAAAAAAUUUCAACUCCCUAAAUAUAUUACAAAAAUCCCAACAUAUACACAGAAUAUUAUACAUAUGUCGGUUAUGUUAUGUAUAUUAAUAGGGAGAGAGAGUAAAGUAAUUAAAAAAGUAGGAGAGAGUGUAAUUACUUUCAAAAGAGUUGGUAUUAAUGUUAUCUAUAUAUAAAAAUAUAGUCACUACAAGGCUUUUUUCACAUUAUUGUCAAAUUAAACUUGUGAUGUUGGGAGGACUAACAAAGUAGAAGAAAGAGCAGAAGAGCAGGGCAUGCCCCCACCUUUCUUGAAAUAACUUUUGACUUUAUUCUUAAAUUAUAACCAACUAAAUAUAUUAUCAUAAAAGUUUGCAAGUAUCUAUCAUAUUAUCUAUCAAAUGCUCCAUCACAAAUUAAGAUUUACAUUUUUUAUUUUGAAUGAUAAUGUUAUUUUUUGAAAUAUAUAAACAUAUGUAACAAUUAUAGUAUUAUAUGCUAUUUUAUGCUGAGAAGUAAUUGUUGCAACUAUUGUGAAUACAAUUGUGUGAUUUGAUGUCGAUGUAUGUAAUGGAGGAGUGAACAUGAAAAUAGACCCUUACAGAAGCAACUUACUUGAGAAAAUUGAAGAAUAGGUGUCUUUUAAGAGUUGAAUGAAGGAUUAGUGACAUUGACCAACAGAUAGGGUCAAACAUUAUUAGGAAACUUGAUCAAGUUAAUUGUGGACUUGAUUAAUAUUUUCAAAACUUUCUAAUCUUUUCAAAAAUACAAAUCAACCCAACCCACACCCUCUUCAAUCCAAUCAACCACCCUCUCUCGACAGCUUCUCUCAACUCUCUCCCAACCAACAGUUCUACAAAAUUUCUCCCUUCAACCCACGACGAUAAAUAGUUGGGCUUCGAGUUCCCCUCUUCAAUUCAAUCAACCGUCUCUCAUCCCUCUCUCGACAAGUUUUCUCAACUCUCUCCCAACAAACUGUUCUGCAAAUUUCUCAUUUCAAUCCUUGGCGACUUUAACAUUUGACUACAAAUAGUUGGGAUUCGAGUUCCUUUUCGACUUCAAUCGAUGUGACAGCCUUGCUCUCCGGCCACAACAGCUUUGAAUUCUUCAUCGGUCCUUUUCUUCUUUCACAGGUAAAAAUUUAUGGCCUUUUUAGUUUAGAAGAAAAUGAGGAACUUGAGCCAACUUCUCUUAUAGGAUUGGUUAACAAUUUCAAUAUUUGUUGUACUAAUUUAAAAUGCGGUCUGAAUAAAACCCUAAUAUCUGGUUAUUCUUCUCUUCUCUUUUCGAAGUGAAUUAUGAUAUUUUGUUGUUUGUUGCAUUUUUUUGAAGUUUGAUUUUUAUUGUUUGUGUUUAUAAAAAUAAAAGGACAAUUUGGUUUGAUUUGUUCUGUUCUUGUUCUUGGUAAAAAUGGUGAAAUUGCUGUUUUUUGUUUAACAAAAUCGUGCAACUGUUUCCUCCAACAGAUUACCCAUCUGGUGCAACAUAUUAACCAUCUGAUGCAACAGAUUUAUCAUAUAAUGUAACAGAUCAACCAUCUGAUGCACCAGAGGAACCAUCAUAUUAUAAUUCUGAUGCAACAGAUUAAUAAUGUGAUGCAACAGCUUUACCAUAUGUUGCAACAGAUUAAACUUCGAAUUAAAAAUCUGAUGCAACUAAUUAACCAUCUGGUGCAAUGGAAUAACCAUCAGAUUAAUGAUCUGAUGCAACAGAUGAACCUCUUAUUGGAUAAAAUCCUACCAACUCUUCCUACAGAAAAAGUCCAAGAUUUGAUUUUUCCAACUGAUCAUUCAUCUGCCACGACAGAUGACCCUAUGUUGGAAGAAAUCUAAAUAAUAUUGACCGUUCAUAAUUGUUCCAACAGAUCACUCAUGUGUUACAACGGAUGUUUGACCUGUUGCACAGACCAUUCAUCUUUCUGAAUAGAUGAGUGAUAUGUUUUGUAUUAUCACAACAAAUUACUCAGUCGUUGCUAUGAAUUAUUUAACCGUUCCAAUAGAUCACUCAUAUGUUGCAACAGAUGAUGACACAAUAGUUGUGUGAUCUGUUAAACAGACCAUUCAUCUAUCUUAAAAGAUGAGUGAUAUGUUUUGUAUUGUUGCAACAGAUUACUCAUCUGCUGCAAUAGUUUGUUAUAUGCUGUAAUAGAUAUACUACCUGGUGCAACAGAUCGGUGAUCUGUUGCAACUGUUAUUUUACUGUUUCACUUGUUUGAUUUACUGUUAUCCUUUUUUAACGAUGCAUUAAUCAACAAUAAUUUAUUCUUUUAUGUUCCUAUUAAUUUUAGAUAAUAUGGUUCCUAAAAGAACAGAAACCGAAUCAAUUCCAAGUAAAGGAAUAAGUGAAGCAGCUAGGCUACAUCCACCACUCUAUGAGCUUACUUUACAAGCGUUAUCUCAAUCGGGAGCAGAAUAUGAUGAACACGGGAAG
rnacentral:lncRNA from 1 species